rnacentral:rRNA from 1 species
AUUGAACGCUGGCGGCAUGCCUUACACAUGCAAGUCGAACGGCAGCACGGGUGCUUGCACCUGGUGGCGAGUGGCGAACGGGUGAGUAAUACAUCGGAACGUACCUUAUCGUGGGGGAUAACGCAGCGAAAGCUGUGCUAAUACCGCAUACGCCCUGAGGGGGAAAGCGGGGGAUCGAAAGACCUCGCGCGAUUAGAGCGGCCGAUGCCUGAUUAGCUUGUUGGUGGGGUAAAAGCCCACCAAGGCGACGAUCAGUAGCUGGUCUGAGAGGACGAUCAGCCACGCUGGGACUGAGACACGGCCCAGGCUCCUACGGGAGGCAGCAGUGGGGAAUUCUGGACAAUGGGGGCAACCCUGAUCCAGCAAUGCCGCGUGAGUGAAGAAGGCCUUCGGGUUGUAAAGCUCUUUUGUCAGGGAAGAAACACCGGCUCUAACACAGUCCGGGAAUGACGGUACCUGAAGAAUAAGCCAUUGCUAACUUCGUGCCAGCCGCCGCAGUAA